rnacentral:rRNA from 1 species
UACAGAGGAUGCAAGCGUUAUCCGGAAUGAUUGGGCGUAAAGCGUCUGUAGGUGGCUUUUUAAGUCCGCCGUCAAAUCCCAGGGCUCAACUCUGGACAGGCGGUGGAAACUACCAAGCUGGAGUACGGUAGGGGCAGAGGGAAUUUCCGGUGGAGCGGUGAAAUGCGUAGAGAUCGGAAAGAACACCAACGGCGAAAGCAGCUUACUAUGAUUAUCUUGACAGUGAGAGACGAAAGUUUGGGUAGCAAACGGG